rnacentral:rRNA from 1 species
UACGGAGGGUGCAAGCGUUAUCCGGAUUUACUGGGUUUAAAGGGUGUGUAGGCGGACUUUUAAGUCAGGGGUGAAAUCCCGAGGCUCAACCUCGGAACUGCCUUUGAUACUAUUGGUCUUGAAUCUUGUUGAGGUGGGCGGAACGGGUCAUGUAGCGGUGAAAUGCAUAGAUAUGACCCGGAACACCGAUUGCGAAGGCAGCCCGCUAAGCAAGCAUUGACGCUGAGGCACGAAAGCGUGGGGAGCAAACAGG